CUGGGGUAGAGUCACUCCUGGGGGUACUGGGCACGCUCGAGUAGAGUAACUCCUGGGGGUACCGGGCACGCUUGGGUAGAGUCACUCCAGGGGGUACUGGCCCUGCUUGGGUAGAGUCACUCCAGGGGGUACCGGACACGCUCGGGUAUAGUCACUCCAGGGGGUACUGGGCACGCUCGGGUAGAGUCACUCCAGGGGGUACUGGGCAUGCUCAGGUAGAGUCACUCCUGGGGGUACCGGGCACGCUCGGGUAGAGUCACUCCAGGGGAUACUGGGCACGCUCAGGUAGAGUCACUCCAGGGGGUACCGGACACGCUCAGGUAGAGUCACUCCAGGGGGUACCGGACACGCUCGGGCAGAAUCACUCCAGGGGGUACCGGGCACGCUCGGGCAGAGUCACUCCUGGCUGUUUUCCUGAGCUUCUGCUGUGGUGGCUGUUGGGGGGACGUGGUGUCUGGCGUAGAUUAAUCCCUGUACAGUAUGUGGGUGGGUGUAUGGGCACGUGGGUGGGUGGGUGUGUUUGUGGGUGUGCCAAUGUAUGUACAUUAGAACGGUUACAGGGGUCAGACCAAUGGUCCAUCUAGCCCAUUGUCCUGUCUUCCGACAGUGGCCAGUGCCAGGUGCUUCAGGGGGAGUGGACAGAACAGGACAAUUAUGCAGUGAUCUAGCCCCUGUCACCCAGUCCCAACUUCUGGCCAUCAGAGGCCAGGGACACCCAGAGCAUCUUCAGUAAUAGCCACUGUUGGAUCUAUCCCCCAUGACCGUAUCUCAUUCUUUUUUUGAACCCAGUUAUGCUAUUGGCCUUCACAAAAUCCUCUGGCAAGGAGUUCCACAGGUUAACUGUGUGUUGUGUGACAAAAUCCUGCCUUAUCCUUGUUUUAAACCUGCUGCUGAUUCAUGUCAUUGGGGUGACCCUUGUGUUAGCUGAAGGGGUAAAUAGCACUUCCUUAGUCACCUCCUCCACACUGAUCAUAUCCCCCUAGUCAUCUCUUGUCUAAGAUUAACAGUCCCAGACUUUUUAAUCUCUCCUCAUACAGAAGCUGUUUCAGCCCCUUAAUCAUGUUUGUUGCCCUUCUCUGUAGUUUUUCCCGUGCUAACAUAUCUUGAUUGAGCUAGGACAGCCAGAUCUGCACGCAGGAUUCAAGAGGGGGGGGCGGACCCUGGAUUUAUAUAGAGGCAUUAUGAUACUUUUUGUCUUAUUAGCUAUCUCUUUCCUAACAUUGUUCUUUUGGUUGGUUGGUUGGUCGGUGUUUUUUGACUGCCCUGCACAUCAAGCGGCUGUUUUCGGAGAACUAUCCAUGGUGAUUCCAAACUCUCCUUCCUGAGCGGUAACAGCUAAUUGAGACCCCGUCCGUUUGUAUGGCUGAUUGGGAUUAUCUUUCGCAAUGUGACACAUUUCACUUAUCAACAUUGAAUGGCGUCCACCAUUCUGUUGCCCCGUCACCCAGUUCCAAGAGAUCCUUUUGUAGCUCUUCGCAGUCUGCCUGGGACUUAACUCUCUGGAGUAAUUUUGUAUCAUCUGCAAACUUCGCCACCUCACUCUUUACCCCUUUCCCCAGAUCAUUUAUGAAGAUAUUGAACGUUACUGGUCCCAGUUCAGAUCCUUGGGGGCCCUGCUCUUUACCUCUCUCCAUUCUGAAAACUGACCAUUUAUUUCUACCCUUUGUUUCCUGUCUUUUAACCAGUCAUUGAUUCACAAGAGAACCUUCCCUCUUAGCUCAUGACAGCUGACUUUGCUUAAGAGCCUUUGGUGAGGGACCUUGUCAAAGGCUUUCUGGAAGUCCAAGUACACUAUAUCCACUUGUCCACAUGUUUGUUGAGCCCAUCAAAUAAUUCUAGUAGAUUAGUGAGGUGUGACUUUUCCUUUACAAAAGCCACACUGAUUCUUCCACAACAAACUGUGCUCAUCUGUGUCUGAUAAUUCUGUUCUUUACUAUAGUUUCAACCAAUUUGCCUGGUACUGACGUUAGGCUCACCAGCCUGUAAUUGCCAGGUUCGCCUCUGGAGCCUUUUUAAAAAGUUGGCAUCACAUCAGCAAUCCACUGGUCAUGUGGUUCAGAGUCCAAUUUAAGUGAUGGAUGACAGACCAUGGUCAGUAGUUCUGCAGUUUCAUAUGUAUAUGUACCGUGUGUGUUCCACCCGUGCUGGGUUCAGCCCAUUUGCAGGGCCAAAUGGUGGGACCAGGUUCCCUGGAGUGGUUGUCAGAUGGCUGGUGUAACAACUCAGCUGGGUUGGGCAUCUCGUUGGUGUGGCCGACUUGAGGCCGUAUUUAUGGCUGUCUACUGCAAGGCGGCUGGUCUUGUGGUGGCCAUCAGGACAAACCGCAUCUAGACAAAUGUGAAAGCACCUCAGGGGGACCCCGGCAGCUGGGAAGCACCAGCCCACGGCCCAGCCUGGUAGCAGCAGAUUUGUGAUGUUGCUGUUCACUAAUUGGGAACUGGGCGCAUGACCUGGGCGUGAGCCACACGAAGCUGGGCUGCAGCGGCCUGCGGUAGGCUUGGGUGGGGUUGGCCAUGCACCAAGUACCCACGUGUGCAGGGCCUUGCACUGCCUUGACCUCACGGCUGUGCAGUGACUGGCUGUUUGCUGAGCUCCGUGCGCAGCUCCAGACACCAUCAGGUACAGGCACGUGUUUGUGUCUGUGCAGUGUGUGUGUGCGUGUGUGAUGGUACGUGAGCAAUGGGUGUGUCUAUGCACUGGGUAUGUGUGUCUGGCCCCUGUCAAUGGGGGUAGGCAGGUGGGAGCUGGAUGGACCCUUCCCUGCCCCCCAGAGGAAUGUCACUGCUAAUGCUAGUUAAGAGUAAAUAGAAACAUGUCCAGUGCUGUACACACACCCAGCUUGACACACACACACACAC